rnacentral:rRNA from 1 species
GACGAACGCUGGCGGCGUGCUUAACACAUGCAAGUCGAACGGAAAGGCCCCUUUGGGGGUACUCGAGUGGCGAACGGGUGAGUAACACGUGAGUAACCUGCCCUUGACUUCGGGAUAACUUCAGGAAACUGGGGCUAAUACCGGAUAGGAAUCCUUGCUGCAUGGUGGGGGUUGGAAAGCUUCGGCGGUUUUGGAUGGACUCGUGGCUUAUCAGCUUGUUGGUGGGGUAGUGGCUUACCAAGGCUUUGACGGGUAGCCGGCCUGAGAGGGCGACCGGCCACAUUGGGACUGAGAUACGGCCCAGACUCCUACGGGAGGCAGCAGUGGGGAAUAUUGCACAAUGGGCGGAAGCCUGAUGCAGCAACGCCGCGUGCGGGAGGACGGCCUUCGGGUUGUAAACCGCUUUCAGCAGGGGCGAAGCUUGUGGUGACGGUACCUGCAGAAGAAGCACCGGCUAACUACGUG